CUUAGCUGCUGAAGGAGGAGAGUCACAUUCAGCCAGGGAUCACUGAGCAUUCAAAAGUCCAUCUGAGACCUGCUUUCAUUGCACUGCCUUGUGAGGAGUUGUAGGAGAAGACAUCAUAACUAUUCCCUACUUCUAAUUGUUAGAGGCAACAGCUGUCUAUCAAGAACAAUCUGAGGAUUUUGCACAAAUUGAUUUGGUUCUAUCAAGUGCUGGCUUUCGAUUCCAGUCUGACUUCACUACCACAGGAGCUUCUUGCUCAGGCUUCUGUUCCGGCUCCAUUCUCUCCCUGCCAUUAUAAUGCCAUCCACUGCAGCACCAUCUCUUCAAUCAGAAAACAUUCAUGAUCUCAUUCCACCUGAAGCCGGUGCCUCUGUAAUGUGUAGCAGAAUCCUAUGGAGAAGUUGUAAAAACACAAAACGUUGGGCCAACCCCAAGAGUUUCUGAUUUUGCAGGUCUGGAGAGGGCCCGGGAUACGUACUUCUAACAAGCUCCCAGGCGAUGCUAAUGUUGCUGGUCUAGAAACACACUUUGAGAGCCACUGUUUUAGCAUGUAUUCACCCAGCUUAUGCAAUCAACUACUCUCACAGCAAAGUCCAAAGAAUGCUCCUUAUUUGUUUGUUAUACUGGAGUUUGGCUUGGCUAGAUAUUAUUUGAAAUUGAAUGGC
rnacentral:lncRNA from 1 species